rnacentral:rRNA from 1 species
GAUGAACGCUAGCUACAGGCUUAACNCAUGCAAGUCGAGGGGCAUCAGGAAGAAAGCUUGCUUCUUGCUGGCGACCGGCGCACGGGUGAGUAACACGUAUCCAACCUGCCCUUUACUCGGGGAUAGCCUUUCGAAAGAAAGAUUAAUACCCGAUAGUAUAAUGAUUCCGCAUGGUUUCAUUAUUAAAGGAUUCCGGUAAAGGAUGGGGAUGCGUUCCAUUAGGUUGUUGGUGAGGUAACGGCUCACCAAGCCUUCGAUGGAUAGGGGUUCUGAGAGGAAGGUCCCCCACAUUGGAACUGAGACACGGUCCAAACUCCUACGGGAGGCAGCAGUGAGGAAUAUUGGUCAAUGGACGAGAGUCUGAACCAGCCAAGUAGCGUGAAGGAUGAAGGUUCUAUGGAUUGUAAACUUCUUUUAUAAGGGAAUAAAACCUCCCACGUGUGGGAGCUUGUAUGUACCUUAUGAAUAAGCAUCGGCUAACUCCGUG